rnacentral:rRNA from 1 species
UCGAGAAUCUUCGGCAAUGGGCGCAAGCCUGACCGAGCGACGCCGCGUGCGGGAUGAAGGCCUUCGGGUUGUAAACCGCUGUCGGAGGGGAGGAAAUGCUGUGGGGUACUCCCCACAGUUUGACCUAGCCUCAAAGGAAGGACGGGCUAAGUUCGUGCCAGCAGCCGCGGUAAGACGAACCGUCCAAACGUUAUUCGGAAUCACUGGGCUUAAAGGGUGCGUAGGCGGCGCUGUAAGUUGGGUGUGAAAUCCCUCGGCUCAACCGAGGAACUGCGCCCAAAACUACAGUGCUUGAGGGAGACAGAGGUGAGCGGAACUUGCGGUGGAGCGGUGAAAUGCGUUGAUAUCGCAAGGAACACCAGUGGCGUAAGCGGCUCACUGGGUCUCUUCUGACGCUGAGGCACGAAAGCUAGGGGAGCGAACG